GGCCGGUUGGCCCAAUGGCAAGGCGUCUGACUACGACUCGCAAUGGUAUCAGGAGAUUCUGGGUUCGACCCCCAGGCUGGUCA
rnacentral:tRNA from 1 species